GAUGAACGCUGGCGGCGUGCCUAAUACAUGCAAGUCGAGCGAACAGACGAGGAGCUUGCUCCUCUGACGUUAGCGGCGGACGGGUGAGUAACACGUGGAUAACCUACCUAUAAGACUGGGAUAACUUCGGGAAACCGGAGCUAAUACCGGAUAAUAUAUUGAACCGCAUGGUUCAAUAGUGAAAGACGGUUUUGCUGUCACUUAUAGAUGGAUCCGCGCCGCAUUAGCUAGUUGGUAAGGUAACGGCUUACCAAGGCAACGAUGCGUAGCCGACCUGAGAGGGUGAUCGGCCACACUGGAACUGAGACACGGUCCAGACUCCUACGGGAGGCAGCAGUAGGGAAUCUUCCGCAAGGGGCGAAAGCUUGACGAAGCAACGCCGCGUGGGUAAUGAAGGUCUUCGGAUCGUAAAACUCUGUUAGUAGGGAAGAACAAAUGUGUAAGUAACUAUGCACGUCUUGACGGUACCUAAUCAGAAAGCCACGGCUAACUACGUG
rnacentral:rRNA from 1 species